AAAUUGAAGAGUUUGAUCAUGGCUCAGAUUGAACGCUGGCGGCAGGCCUAACACAUGCAAGUCGAACGGUAACAGGAAACAGCUUGCUGUUUCGCUGACGAGUGGCGGACGGGUGAGUAAUGUCUGGGAAACUGCCUGAUGGAGGGGGAUAACUACUGGAAACGGUAGCUAAUACCGCAUAACGUCGCAAGACCAAAGAGGGGGACCUUCGGGCCUCUUGCCAUCGGAUGUGCCCAGAUGGGAUUAGCUAGUAGGUGGGGUAACGGCUCACCUAGGCGACGAUCCCUAGCUGGUCUGAGAGGAUGACCAGCCACACUGGAACUGAGACACGGUCCAGACUCCUACGGGAGGCAGCAGUGGGGAAUAUUGCACAAUGGGCGCAAGCCUGAUGCAGCCAUGCCGCGUGUAUGAAGAAGGCCUUCGGGUUGUAAAGUACUUUCAGCGGGGAGGAAGGGAGUAAAGUUAAUACCUUUGCUCAUUGACGUUACCCGCAGAAGAAGCACCGGCUAACUCCGUGCCAGCAGCCGCGGUAAUACGGAGGGUGCAAGCGUUAAUCGGAAUUACUGGGCGUAAAGCGCACGCAGGCGGUUUGUUAAGUCAGAUGU
rnacentral:rRNA from 1 species